GAAGUAUGACUCAUCAUCCAUUGAAGGCAAUCUCUGUGGCUGGUGACGAACGAAACCUUGUUCACGAAUAUGAUCACUAGGAGAAUCAUAUUCCACUUUGAGUUUGUGAAAGGAAGGUAGAUUAUGAAGUAGAUGGGAAUCCUGAUAGUCUGAUACACUAUUGGGAUCAUCAAAAGAGAGUUGAUGAUCAAAAAGUGGCUUUUCUGUAGUAGCUGAGUGAUCAGGAAUAUCUGCAUAAAAUGGAUUCUCAUCAUUAUCCUCGGGAAACUUCUCACUAUUUUUCUUCGUGAGCUCACUAAUCCUGGCCUGCGCAAGAGUAGCGGCCGAUCGUGCUGCUGCUGCUGCAUGAUCAGCAGUUUCUGCCGCAGCUUGAGCAGCAGCUAAAACAUCCUG
rnacentral:misc_RNA from 1 species